AUUAACCUAAGCAUGGGUGUGCUAGUUUUGAAUUUGUAAAAACAGAAAACAGCUUUGGUGGGGUUUGAAGCCCUUGUAGGAGUGGAGGGUAAACUCUGGCUCAAUGGGAAGCAGCUGCCUGGAGACCCUGUGUGUCUGUUCCAGCUCUGGAAUGUCAGUACCCUCAUCUGCAUUGCAGCCACACUAUUGAGGAAUCAUCCUGGCUGCACAGUCCGUUGGAAUCCUGAAAUGGCUUUACAAGAAAGGAUGAAAGAUGAUACUGAUCAUAUGGUCAUGUACUAGUCCUUUCCUGCGUCAAAAUUUAAAAUGGACGAAGAGAGAAAACAGAAGCAUAAAGAAGCAUUCCUUCUACAAGAGCUCAG